rnacentral:rRNA from 1 species
UACGUAGGCAGCGAGCGUUGUUCGGAAUUACUGGGCGUAAAGCGCACGUAGGCGGAUCUUUAAGUCAGGGGUGAAAUCCCAAGGCUCAACCUUGGAACUGCCUUUGAUACUGGGGAUCUCGAGUCCGGAAGAGGUGAGUGGAACUGCGAGUGUAGAGGUGAAAUUCGUAGAUAUUCGCAAGAACACCAGUGGCGAAGGCGGCUCACUGGUCCGGUACUGACGCUGAGGUGCGAAAGCGUGGGGAGCAAACAGG